rnacentral:rRNA from 1 species
UACGAAGGGGGCUAGCGUUGCUCGGAAUCACUGGGCGUAAAGCGCACGUAGGCGGCUUGUUAAGUCAGGGGUGAAAUCCUGGAGCUCAACUCCAGAACUGCCCUUGAUACUGGCGAGCUUGAGUUCGGGAGAGGUUGGUGGAACUGCGAGUGUAGAGGUGAAAUUCGUAGAUAUUCGCAAGAACACCAGUGGCGAAGGCGGCCAACUGGCCCGAUACUGACGCUGAGGUGCGAAAGCGUGGGGAGCGAACGGG